rnacentral:rRNA from 1 species
UACGUAGGGUGCAAGCGUUGUCCGGAAUUAUUGGGCGUAAAGGGCUCGUAGGCGGUCCAUCGCGUCGGGAGUGAAAAGCUGGGGCUUAACCCCAGUCCUGCUUUCGAUACGGGUGGACUAGAGGUAUGCAGGGGAGAACGGAAUUCCUGGUGUAGCGGUGAAAUGCGCAGAUAUCGAGAGGAACACCUGCGGCGAAGGCGGGUUGCUGGGCUGACACUGACGCUGAUGCGCGAAAGCUAGGGGAGCGAACGGG